UACGAAGGGGGCUAGCGUUGCUCGGAAUCACUGGGCGUAAAGGGUGCGUAGGCGGGUUUUUAAGUCAAGGGUGAAAUCCUGGAGCUCAACUCCAGAACUGCCUUUGAUACUGAAGAUCUUGAGUUCGGGAGAGGUGAGUGGAACUGCGAGUGUAGAGGUGAAAUUCGUAGAUAUUCGCAAGAACACCAGUGGCGAAGGCGGCUCACUGGCCCGAUACUGACGCUGAGGCACGAAAGCGUGGGGAGCAAACAGG
rnacentral:rRNA from 1 species